rnacentral:rRNA from 1 species
AAGACCUUGUGCUUUUGGAGCGGCCGAUAUCUGAUUAGCUAGUUGGUGAGGUAAUGGCUCACCAAGGCGACGAUCAGUAGCUGGUCUGAGAGGACGACCAGCCACACUGGAACUGAGACACGGUCCAGACUCCUACGGGAGGCAGCAGUGGGGAAUUUUGGACAAUGGGGGCAACCCUGAUCCAGCAAUGCCGCGUGAGUGAAGAAGGCCUUCGGGUUGUAAAGCUCUUUUGUCAGGGAAGAAACGGCUGUGGCUAAUAUCCACGGCUAAUGACGGUACCUGAAGAAUAAGCACCGGCUAACUACGUGCCAGCAGCCGCGGUAAUACGUAGGGUGCAAGCGUUAAUCGGAAUUACUGGGCGUAAAGCGUGCGCAGGCGGUUUUGUAAGUCUGACGUGAAAUCCCCGGGCUUAACCUGGGAAUU